rnacentral:misc_RNA from 1 species
GAAAAUUAUCAACAAACUCUUGGUCCUUCAUAUGGAAGAGGAUAUGGUGCUUCUACUCCAUAUCAGCCUGCACCACAGGCUGCCACAUAUCAGCCUGCACCACAGCCGGGAAUGUUCAUUCCAUCUCAGGUGCCUGAGGUUCCUCAGGCAAAUUUUGCUCCACCUUCUGCUGCCACUCAACAAGCUGUGAGUGUGAGGUCUUUUGUUCCAUCAAAUAAUGUCCCUGUUCUGAAAAAUCCAGAGCAAUACCAGCAACCCACAUUGGGCUCUCAGUUAUAUCCUGGGACUGCUAAUGCUGCUUAUCACCCUGUACAGCCUCCAGCUGGUUCACAAGG